UACGUAGGGACCAAGCGUUGUUCGGAUUUACUGGGCGUAAAGGGCGCGUAGGCGGCCAACUAAGUCGGAUGUGAAAUCCCCAGGCUUAACCUGGGAACUGCAUCCGAUACUGGAUGGCUUGAAUCCGGGAGAGGGAUGCAGAAUUCCAGGUGUAGCGGUGAAAUGCGUAGAUAUCUGGAGGAAUACCGGUGGCGAAGGCGGCAUCCUGGACCGGCAUUGACGCUGAUGAGCGAAAGCUAGGGGAGCAAACGGG
rnacentral:rRNA from 1 species